AACACCACACUGACAUUGGUCGACGUAAACAAAGAAACAAUGGCAGUGAAAAAUGUCCGUAUUUCAGAUGCCAAUAAAGGAAAGCAAUGAAGUACAGGAUUAGCGCAGGACCUUACUUCGUUCAGCGCCCAACGCGGGAGACCGCCCACGACCCUGAGACAUUUCGUUCAACCGGCAGUUCCGACUGAGUACAUUCCGUCCUCGUCAACGCCUCUGCCUCUCCGCGAGCCUACCUACUUGUUUACAAAUCCGGACCGCUUCAGCUAAGUACCUAAACGCAACACCUAACAAAAAAGAACAUCACUAGUAAUAAAUUAACGAAUAUUAUCCAACCUCAUAAAUACCUACAUACUAAAAAUAAAUAAAUAAAUAAGUAACCUAAAACACCAAACCUGAUAAACUAAACAAAUACUGACGGACAUCCAAUCAUUUAUUCAUUUGUUUAUCCCUUCUCUUACAGGUGGAAUGGGAAAGGGUUACCCGGCGUGAAGUAAUGUGUGUGGACUAUACAAAAUCUGACCGCUUCCUAUGUACAUAUGUGUAGACACGUGCAAAUGGACACGUACAAAUUGGAAUCGAUGCAACUCUCUCACACAUCGGAGCAGAGGUCACCGUCCUUCGCCCGGACGCAGCGCAAGGUCACCGAAUAUCGGGCCCUGGGUCGCCGGACGUUGUCGUGUCUCACCACCCGGGAAAAAGGAGGAAACAGCUACAUUUUUUUUUUUAAGCUAAUAUUUUACCCCUUUGUAUUAUUUGGCCCUACAUAAAACCCCCCUUUUAAAUCUAA